rnacentral:rRNA from 1 species
UACGGGGGGAGCAAGCGUUGUUCGGAAUUACUGGGCGUAAAGGGCGCGUAGGCGGCCUUCUAAGUCAGACGUGAAAUCCCCCGGCUUAACCUGGAACUGCGUCUGAUACUGGGAGGCUUGAGUGCGGGAGAGGAUGGUGGAAUUCCCAGUGUAGAGGUGAAAUUCGUAGAUAUUCGCAAGAACACCAGUGGCGAAGGCGGCUGACUGGUCCGGUUCUGACGCUGAGGCGCGAAAGCUAGGGGAGCAAACGGGG